AAAACAUGACAAAUAAACAAAAUCAAAAUAAUUAUAUAUCUAAUUACAUAUUUUAUAGUUAUAGAAUUUAAAUUAAUAAAUUAUGGACUCAACCAAAAACUAUUAAUAAAUUAAUGACUCAGCUUAAACAUAAUUAAAACAUGACAAAUAAGUAAAAUUACCUAAAAUCAUGGAAAUCAUGACUAAUAAGCUAAAUCACUUCAUAAAUAAUUCGUUUUUAAUUAUAUAUAAAAUUCAUUAAGGAUAUUUUUAAAAUUAAUAAAUUAAUGAUUCAGUUAAAAAUUAUUAAUAAAUCAAUGAUUAAGCUAAAACCUAAUAAAAACAUGACAAAUAAGAAAAAUUGACUAAAAUUAUGGAAAACAUGACAAAUAAACAAAAUCAAAAUAAUUAUAUAUCUAAUUACAUAUUUUAUAGUUAUAUUAUUUAAAUUAAUAAAUUAUGGACUCAACCAAAAACUAUUAAUAAAUUAAUGACUCAGCUUAAACCUAAUUAAAACAUGACAAAUAAGUAAAAUUACCUAAAAUCAUGGAAAUCAU
rnacentral:lncRNA from 1 species